rnacentral:misc_RNA from 1 species
CACUCACACAAGUGUCAGUUCUAAUCCAAGACGUUUAAUUUAAAAUCAAGUUCUGGAAUUCUUUGAAGAGGAAUGCCAUAAACUGAGGUAAAAGAUUGCGGAUGGGGUCAGAUAGCGUUUAGAUGAUUAAAAUGAAAUUCUGGGUUUGGAUAUUUGUGGUUGAACAUAAUCUUCCUUAGCUCUGCAUCAUUGUUUCAAAGUUCUGUAUGGUCAGGGUUGUUUCAUCGGUGACUUGGUUGUG